rnacentral:rRNA from 1 species
UACAGAGGGGGCAAGCGUUGUUCGGAAUUACUGGGCGUAAAGGGCGCGUAGGCGGCCUGGCAAGUGGAAGGUGAAAUCCCUCGGCUUAACCGAGGAACUGCCUCCCAAACUGCUUGGCUUGAGACCGGGAGAGGUGAGUGGAAUUCCCAGUGUAGCGGUGAAAUGCGUAGAUAUUGGGAGGAACACCGGUGGCGAAAGCGGCUUACUGGGUCUCUUCUGACGCUGAUGCACGAAAGCUAGGGUAGCAAACGGGG